rnacentral:rRNA from 1 species
AUGGCUCAGGAUGAACGCUAGCUACAGGCUUAACACAUGCAAGUCGAGGGGCAGCAUGGUCAAAGCUUGCUUGACUGAUGGCGACCGGCGCACGGGUGAGUAACGCGUAUCCAACCUUCCCCUUAGUAGGGCAUAGCCCGUAGAAAUGCGGAUUAAUACCCUAUGUUAUUCGUCGAGGACAUCUGAAGUGAAUCAAAGGUUUACCGCUAAGGGAUGGGGAUGCGUCUGAUUAGGCAGCAGGCGGGGUAACGGCCCACCUGGCCGACGAUCAGUAGGGGUUCUGAGAGGAAGGUCCCCCCACAUUGGAACUGAGACACGGUCCAAACUCCUACGGGAGGCAGCAGUGAGGAAUAUUGGUCAAUGGUCGAGAGACUGAACCAGCCAAGUAGCGUGCAGGAUGACGGCCCUAUGGGUUGUAAACUGCUUUUAUGCGGGGAUAAAGUGACGUACGUGUACGUUUUUGUAGGUACCGCAUGAAUAAGGACCGGCUAAUUCCGUGCCAGCCGCUGC